AUUGAACGCUGGCGGCAUGCCUUACACAUGCAAGUCGAACGGCAGCAUGGAGAGCUUGCUCUCUGAUGGCGAGUGGCGAACGGGUGAGUAAUGCAUCGGAACGUACCGUGUAAUGGGGGAUAACGUAGCGAAAGUUACGCUAAUACCGCAUACGACCUGAGGGUGAAAGCAGGGGAUCGCAAGACCUUGCGUUAUACGAGCGGCCGAUGUCAGAUUAGCUAGUUGGUGAGGUAAAGGCUCACCAAGGCGACGAUCUGUAGCGGGGCUGAGAGGAUGAGCCGCCACACGGGGACUGAGACACGGCCCAGACUCCUACGGGAGGGAGCAGUGGGGAAUUUUGGACAAUGGGGGCAACCCUGAUCCAGCCAUGCCGCGUGAGGGAAGAAGGCCUUCGGGUUGUAAAGCUCUUUCGGCCGGGAAGAAAUCGCACAGGCUAAUACUCUGUGUGGAUGACGGUACCGGCAUAAGAAGCACCGGCUAACUACGUGCCAGCAGCCGCCGUAA
rnacentral:rRNA from 1 species